AUGGAGCGCCUCCGACGCUGCCAAGAGUGCCUCCAUCCCCUGGAGAUGGAGAGGGUGGCGGUCGGGCGGUGCGGCCACCGAAACAUCUGCUCAGAGUGCUCACUGACGGACCGCUGUCGCCGCAAGCUUACAUGCCCGUCUUGCGGCGCCCGCUGCCCCACCGUCCUCAUCACCCGUGCGACGGAGAUGACCGGGGAUAGCGCCGUCCUCCGCUGGACGAGGCCGGCGGCGUCCAGGGAGGGACGCGUUGGCAAGUACUGGUACCACAAAGCGUCGACAUCGUAUUUCGACGAUGAGGAGCAGUACAAGCUAGCCAAGUUGUGCCUCCCAGAUGAGGCCAUGAAAAAAACUGGGGCAGGCGCAUGUACGUGCACAAUUAUGUGA
rnacentral:rRNA from 1 species